rnacentral:rRNA from 1 species
GGGAUUAGCUAGUAGGCGGGGUAAUGGCCCACCUAGGCGACGAUCCCUAGCUGGUCUGAGAGGAUGACCAGCCACACUGGAACUGAGACACGGUCCAGACUCCUACGGGAGGCAGCAGUGGGGAAUAUUGCACAAUGGGCGCAAGCCUGAUGCAGCCAUGCCGCGUGUAUGAAGAAGGCCUUCGGGUUGUAAAGUACUUUCAGCGGGGAGGAAGGCGAUGCGGUUAAUAACCGCGUCGAUUGACGUUACCCGCAGAAGAAGCACCGGCUAACUCCGUGCCAGCAGCCGCGGUAAUACGGAGGGUGCAAGCGUUAAUCGGAAUUACUGGGCGUAAAGCGCACGCAGGCGGUCUGUUAAGUCAGAUGUGAAAUCCCCGGGCUUAACCUGGGAACUGCAUUUGAAACUGGCAGGCNU